UACUGCAACCACACCACUUCAGGUUGUGAUCAUUUCAAAACUCACAAGCUAAGCGAGUUUGAGCCUUGUCAGUACUUGAAUAGGAGAUUUUUGAGGAAAAUUGAGGCUGCUUCAGGCA
rnacentral:rRNA from 1 species